UACGGAGGGUGCGAGCGUUGUCCGGAAUCACUGGGCGUAAAGGGCGCGUAGGCGGCUUUUUAAGCGUGCGGUGAAAGCCCGGGGCUCAACCCCGGGUCGGCCGUGCGAACUGGAAAGCUCGAGCCCACUAGAGGCAGGCGGAAUUCCGGGUGUAGCGGUGGAAUGCGUAGAGAUCCGGAAGAACACCGGUGGCGAAGGCGGCCUGCUGGGGUGGUGCUGACGCUGAGGCGCGACAGCGUGGGGAGCAAACAGG
rnacentral:rRNA from 1 species